rnacentral:rRNA from 1 species
CCUACGGGUGGCAGCAGUGAGGAAUAUUGGUCAAUGGACGAGAGUCUGAACCAGCCAAGUAGCGUGAAGGAUGACUGCCCUAUGGGUUGUAAACUUCUUUUAUAUGGGAGUAAAAUGUUCCACGUGUGGGAUUUUGUAUGUACCCUAUGAAUAAGGAUCGGCUAACUCCGUGCCAGCAGCCGCGGUAAUACGGAGGAUCCGAGCGUUAUCCGGAUUUAUUGGGUUUAAAGGGAGCGUAGGUGGAUUGUUAAGUCAGUGGGGAAAGUUUGCAGCUCAACCGUAAAAGUGCAGUUGAAACUGGUAGUCUUGAGUAAAGUAGAGGUGGGCGGAAUGCGUGGUGUAGCGGUGAAAUGCUUAGAUAUCACGAAGAACUCCGAUUGCGAAGGCAGUUCACUGGACUGCAACUGACACUGAGGCUCGAAAGUGUGGGUAUCAAACAGGAUUAGAUACCCUUGUAGUC